AGCGAACGCUGGCGGCAGGCUUAACACAUGCAAGUCGAGCGGGCACUUCGGUGUCAGCGGCAGACGGGUGAGUAACACGUGGGAACGUACCCUUUGGUUCGGAAUAACGCUGGGAAACUAGCGCUAAUACCGGAUACGCCCUUUUGGGGAAAGGCUUGCUGCCGAAGGAUCGGCCCGCGUCUGAUUAGCUAGUUGGGGGGUAAUGGCCUACCAAGGCGACGAUUAGUAGCUGGUCUGAGAGGAUGAGCAGCCACACUGGGACUGAGACACAGCCCCGACUCCUACGGGAGGCAGCAGUGGGGAAUAUUGCACAAUGGGCUCAAGCCUGAUCCAGCCAUGCCGCGUGAGUGAUGAAGGCCUUAGAGAUGUAAAGCUCUUUUGUCCGGGACGAUAAUGACGGUACCGGAAGAAUAAGCCCCGGCUAACUUCGUG
rnacentral:rRNA from 1 species